rnacentral:rRNA from 1 species
UGGGGAAUAUUGCACAAUGGAGGGAACUCUGAUGCAGCGACGCCGCGUGAGUGAUGAAGGAAUUCGUUUCGUAAAACUCUGUUCUAUGGGAAGAAAAGGACUGUACCAUAGGAGAAAGCUCCGGCUAAAUACGUGCCAGCAGCCGCGGUAAUACGUAUGGAGCGAGCGUUGUCCGGAAUUAUUGGGCGUAAAGGGUGCGCAGGCGGCUUUACAAGUUGGAUGUGAAAUAUUGUGGCUCAACCACAAACGUGCAUCCAAAACUGCAAAGCUUGAGUUAAGGGGAGGUAAGUGGAAUUCCUGGUGUGGCGGUGGAAUGCGUAGAUAUCAGGAGGAAUACCGGUGGCGAAGGCGACUUACUGGACUUAAACUGACGCUCAGGCACGAAAGCGUGGGGAGCAAACAGG